UACGUAGGAGACGAGCGUUGUCCGGAGUUACUGGGCGUAAAGAGUGUGUAGGCGGUGCUCUAAGUUCGGUGUGAAAUCUCCCGGCUUAACUGGGAGGGUGCGCCGGAAACUGGAGUGCUCGAGCGUGGGAGAGGAAAGCGGAAUUCCUGGUGUAGCGGUGAAAUGCGUAGAUAUCAGGAGGAACACCGGUGGCGAAGGCGGGUCUCUGGGCCAAUACUGACGCUCAUGCACGAAAGCGUGGGGAGCAAACAGG
rnacentral:rRNA from 1 species